rnacentral:lncRNA from 9 species
CUACAGCGGCCCAAGGAGUGGUGGCCCUUUAAGCAUGGGGAGAAAACUCAGGGUCUGAAUAGUGUUAUUACUAUUGCUAUUAUUUUUCAGUUGAAACACUUCAUUUCCAACAAUAUUUAUGACAACGUCAAGUCCCUGAAUUCUUCCUGGUAGGAUCAGUAUUUAAUUACACAAAAAUAUGCUGCUAACUUAGGUAGGACUCCCCAUAAGAGUAAGAUGGCCAGUAUUUCAUGGCAAAUGAUUCAAUGAGCUGACACAGCUCUACCCUGAACUUGCCAUCAGGACAGACCUUGCGUGCAGGUGCCUUGAGGACUGUGGCUAAUCGGAAGCGGUAGGAACCUUACCUCUUGGAGGCUUCCACCGCCAGGAGCCGUGUUCUCUGCAAAUGUGGAGAAGAAUUGAUGCAGAAUUCAGGAAAACAACCACAUAACAUUCUAUUGUACUCAGAACUGCCCUGGGAGUGCUUGGGAAUUUGGAGAAUGCAGGAUUCCUUGAGAAAUAAAGCAAGAGACAGGAAGAGUCGAGAAAAGGAUCAAUUAACUGAUUUACUGUCAUUUUCAGAUAAAACUGUCUGAGAAAAACCUCAAACCGGGCAGAGGGUUUGGUUUUGGUUUUGGUUUGUUUGCCUUUUUCAUUAUAAAGUCUCUGAGGAAGGAAAAUCUUGUUCUCCAUGGAGCAGUCAGUUCUAUUUCCGACAAAUCUCACUUUUUUACAUAUUUGUGUGGCUUUCUGGUCUCCCUUUUCUCAGCCUGGAAGACGACUGGGGCAGUUGAAGAGAAGAGUCAGAUUUCUGAAACACAGAAAGAUUCCUCACUGAAGCCAGGCUUGUCCUGGAUCAGAGAAUGGCUGAGUUCUAAAUCAGGCUCUUCCAAUGGAGAAGUCUCCUUGCAUAAUCCUGGCCAGCAUUUUCUUCUACUAAGAGAAGAAUUAGACAACUACUUUUGAUUGCACCUUAUUUCCAAGAAAGACUGGUGGCUUCUCUCUUCAGAUGGGGAGUGACAACUGCACAGUGGCUUCCUCUGGUGUGAGGCUGUGGUGGUGUUGCCUCCUUGAUGAAUGAAAACUGUCUCAUAAGAAACUGUGCAAAUGGGGAAGAGAAUGGGGGAGGACAGAUUCAAAAUUGGAGGCAAACAUGAAAGUCUUUGUCCUUUUCCUAAUUAUCCUUUCAGUGUAAUCAGUACUGCCCUUGGUGCUACUUACCAUGUAUGGUAGGUAAGACACACUGAUUUUGAAUUUUAUUGUCAUGACCUUGAGUAUGAAGCUAGAAAUUGGUCUAAAUACCCUUGGUAUUGAUGCUUCUAAGUUCACACUCAUUUGUUAUUCCUAAGCAUUGUUGCUUACACUGAAUAUCUUCUGUGUUGGGCCCUGUGCCAGGCUCCAUUUUGGGUAUGAGUUUGUCUUUUUUUUUUGGCUGCCCCUUGGCAUCAGGAGUUCCCAGGUCAAGGAUCAGAUCCGAACCAUAGCUGCAACCCAAGCCACAGCUGCAGCAAUGCCAGAUCCUUAACCCACUAAGCCGGUCAGGCCUGGGGUUAAACCUACAUCCCAGCACUUCUAAGACACUACUGAUCCUGUUAUACCACACCAGGAACUCUGAGUUUGCCUUUUGAGCAAAGACAAACAAGCCAAAGGAACUGAUGGAGGUGAGCACACUAAAGAGCUCAGACUCCAUUCAGGAACUUGGGAUGUGCCGAUGAGUGUGAUAUGAACCAAGUAGUAACUGACCUCACACUUUUAAAGUGUGAGCACCCAUCUUUCUCCUUGGAAAUUCUUCUAUUACCUACAAUGUAAAACUUUGACCAAAAAAUCUUACAACACGAUAUUGAAAAAAUCAAGGAAUUAAAAGCAGAGUAGGAAUUUGCAUGCUUCUCAACAAAAGUACACAGUAAGUAUUUUAACUCGGUUUUCAUUAUUCUGGAUACACUGGGUAUCCAGGCUUAGAGAUUUCCUUUGUGUUCAGCCUUUUUUGGUUGGCUUUGCUCUUCUCGAGGCAUAAAACCCUGAUGUAGACAGUGGGUGGCGCACAUGUGUGUGUGUGUGUUAGACAUCCUGGGUUUCACCAAUAUCUGGCUCUCCUCUUAUUUUCCACAUGGGGAAGACCCCAUUUCCUGGAACUUACAGGGACCAGUAACAUCUGCUCUAGAAGUGGGAUGGUGUCUGUUCUGAGACCCAGCAUAGAAGGAUACUGAUG